rnacentral:tRNA from 1 species
GGAUUGUAGCUCAGUGGUAGAGCACUUGCCUUGUAUGUGUGAGGCCCAGGGUUCGAUUCCCAGCACCA